GACGGGGGGAUGCAAGUGUUAUCCGGAAUCACUGGGCGUAAAGCGUCUGCAGGUGGUUUCCUAAGUCCACUGUUAAACCUUGAGGCUCAACCUCAAAUCUGCAUUGGAAACUAGGAGACUUGAGUAUAGUAGGGGUAGAGGGAAUUUCCAGUGGAGCGGUGAAAUGCGCAGAUAUCGGGAGGAACACCAAUGGCGAAGGCAGCUCGCUGGGACGUUACUGACGCUGAGACGCGAAAGCGUGGGGAGCAAACAGG
rnacentral:rRNA from 1 species